GAUGAACGCUGGCGGCGUGCCUAAUACAUGCAAGUCGAGCGAACGGACGAGAAGCUUGCUUUUCUGAUGUUAGCGGCGGACGGGUGAGUAACACGUGGAUAACCUACCUAUAAGACUGGGAUAACUUCGGGAAACCGGAGCUAAUACCGGAUAAUAUUUUGAACCGCAUGGUUCAAAAGUGAAAGACGGUCUCGCUGUCACUUAUAGAUGGAUCCGCGCUGCAUUAGCUAGUUGGUAAGGUAACGGCUUACCAAGGCAACGAUGCAUAGCCGACCUGAGAGGGUGAUCGGCCACACUGGAACUGAGACACGGUCCAGACUCCUACGGGAUGCAGCAGUAGGGAAUCUUCCGCAAUGGGCGAAAGCCUGACGGAGCAACGCCGCGUGAGUGAUGAAGGUCUUCGGAUCGUAAAACUCUGUUAUUAGGGAAGAACAUAUGUGUAAGUAACUGUGCACAUCUUGACGGUACCUAAUCAGAAAGCCACGGCUAACUACGUG
rnacentral:rRNA from 1 species